CGAACGCUGGCGGCAGGCCUAAUACAUGCAAGUCGAACGGCUCUUCGGAGCAGUGGCGGACGGGUGAGUAACGCGUGGGAAUGUGCCCUCUGGUACGGAACAACACAGGGAAACUUGUGCUAAUACCGUAUGUGCCCUUCGGGGGAAAGAUUUAUCGCCAUUGGAGCAGCCCGCGUUGGAUUAGGUAGUUGGUGAGGUAAAGGCUCACCAAGCCUACGAUCCAUAGCUGGUCUGAGAGGAUGAUCAGCCACACUGGGACUGAGACACGGCCCAGACUCCUACGGGAGGCAGCAGUAGGGAAUCUUGCGCAAUGGGCGAAAGCCUGACGCAGCCAUGCCGCGUGAAUGAUGAAGGUCUUAGGAUUGUAAAAUUCUUUCACCGGGGAAGAUAAUGACGGUACCCGGAGAAGAAGCCCCGGCUAACUUCGUGCCAGCCGCCGCCGUAACAC
rnacentral:rRNA from 1 species